CGCCGCCGCCGCCGCCUCCGCUCCCGUCGCCUGUGGUUCUCCAAACUCUCGCCGCCCGGGAGAAGGUGUACCGGCAUCGCAUCCCGCAAGGAAAAAUGGUGGAGCCAGGACAAGAUUUACUGCUUGCUGCUUUGAGUGAGAGUGGAAUUAGUCCGAAUGACCUCUUUGAUAUUGAUGGUGGAGAUGCGGGGCUUGCAGCUCCAACACCUACCCCUUCAGUUCACCAGUCAGCAGCCUCCGUCUACAACAACAUUUGUGCUGAAUCAAAUAAAUCAACUUCCGACCUUGGGAUCUACAAUUGUAAUGACUAAAACACCACCUGUAACAACGAAUAGGCAAACCAUCACUUUAGCAAAGUUUAUCCAGACCUCUGCAAACACACGCCCUUCGGUCUCAGUACCAGCAGUACGAAAUGCCGUGACCUCUGCACCUUCAAAAGACCAGGUUCAACUGAAGGACCUUCUGAAAAAUAAUAGUCUGAAUGAACUCAUGAAACUGAAGCCACCAGCUAAUAUCACUCAGCCAGUUGCAACAGCAGCUACUGAUGUAAGCAACGGCCCAGUAAAGAAGGAGUCUUCUAAUAAAGAGGUAGCAAGAAUAUGGGUAAAUGACAUGAAGAUGAGGAGUUUUUCCCCGACCAUGAAGGUUCCUGUUGUAAAAGAGGAAGAUGAACCGGAGGAAGAGGAUGAAGAAGAAAUGGGCCAUGCAGAAACCUACGCAGAGUAUAUGCCAAUAAAAUGUAUGUCUUUGGGAUUUGCCAAAAUAAUGAAAGACUUCCAGGUUCCUCUUGAACUUAAAAACUUUACCACACACGUUAUUAUCUAUUAGGAUUUGUCAAUGUGGGCACUUAAGAAUUUGACAAGCACCAGCUUUGUAAUGUUUUAAACUAGAAUAUGUUUGAAAAUAUA